UAUUAAACCAAAAAUUAUAGCCUCCAUUUUCUUUAAUAUCUGAUAGUGGCGUCCAGUGCAGGUCGAAUUUGUUUCGCCUUGGAAUUUGUUUCGCCUUGGAAUUUUGUUUCAGCCAGAAUCUGACUAACCAAGACAUUAGAAACCUCAAAAACCGUGUAGGUGCAAGAUCGGUAGAUUAUUAAUGUACUGAUCAAGGUCUAUUUAUAAGGAGACUUGGUAGCACGUUCAAAUAAACUAAAAUUCAAUACGGACCAUUAACAUUGUAUAGAGGUGGCAUAAAAGAGACUGCAUGCUCAAUAGAAAUACGGCAUUCUAACACAGAGCUUGAAGAUAGACGACCUUGGGUGAUCACAUUGGUUGUUCAUAUAUAUAGAACGUGUUACGCCUUGGAAGUUUGUUUCGCCUUGGAAUUUUGUUUCAGGCAGAAUCUGACUAACUAAGAAAGACAUUAGAAAUCUCAACAAACCGUGUAGGCGCAAGAUCGGUAGAUUAUUAAUGUACUGAUCAAGGUCUAUUUAUAAGAAGACUUGGGUAGCACGCUAAGAUUCAAUACGGACGAUUAACAUUGUGUUGUAGUGGUAUGGUAUAUAAAGGAGACUGCUCAAUACAAAUACGGCAUUCCAACACAGAGCUUGAAGAAAGACGGACCUUGAGUGAUCACAUUGGCUAUACGGAACGUGGAUUAAUUCCUCACCAGCAUGGCAUCAUUGGAACACGACACAAGGCAAGACGAGCCGACGACUAUUCAAAUUGAUAUUACAAACAUUUUUCAGGAGCUAGACUUUUUGAAGAAAAAAGUAUUAAAGUUAGAAAGGCAACUUACGGAGACCCAUCAUUUAUGCAAGGAAAACCAGCGUAAUGUACGACGCCAUCCUGUACAUGCCGUAGUGCAACCACUAC